GUCUACGGCCAUGCAACCCUGAACAAGCCCGCUCCCAUCUGGUCUCAGAAACUAAGCAGGGUCGGGACUGGUUAGUACUUGGAUAGGAGACCACCCAGGAAGAUCAGGUGCUGUAGGCA
rnacentral:rRNA from 1 species